AACGAACGCAGGCGGCGUGGAUAAGACAUGCAAGUCGAGCGCUAAUUUCACUGUAGCAAUACAGUGGAGUUGGAGCGGCGCAAGGGUGCGUAACACGUGGGUAAUUUGCCGUAGAGUUGGGGAUAACUCGCUGAAAGGCGAGCUAAUACCGAAUGUGAAGUUUGGUGGCAUCACCUGACCUUUAAAGCGUGGGGACCGCAAGGCCUGGCGCUCUAUGAUAACGCCCGCGGCCUAUCAGCUAGUUGGUGAGGUAAC
rnacentral:rRNA from 1 species